GGUGCUGUGGCUUAGUUGGUCAAAACGCCCGUCUAGUAAACAGGAAAUCCUGGGUUCAAAUCCCAGCAGUGCCU
rfam:Danio rerio chromosome 4, GRCz11 reference primary assembly.